CCAGAGAACUUAGCAGAGAUGCUUGGUGCCUUCGGGAACUCUGAGACAGGUGCUGCAUGGCUGUCGUCAGCUCGUGUUGUGAAUGUUGGGUUAAGUCCCGCAACGAGCGCAACCCUUAUCCUUUGUUGCCAGCGAUUCGGUCGGGAACUCAAAGGAGACUGCCGGUGAUAAACCGGAGGAAGGUGGGGAUGACGUCAAGUCAUCAUGGCCCUUACGGCCAGGGCUACACACGUGCUACAAUGGCGCAUACAAAGAGAAGCGACCUCGCGAGAGCAAGCGGACCUCAUAAAGUGCGUCGUAGUCCGGAUUGGAGUCUGCAACUCGACUCCAUGAAGUCGGAAUCGCUAGUAAUCGUAGAUCAGAAUGCUACGGUGAAUACGUUCCCGGGCCUUGUACACACCGCCCGUCACACCAUGGGAGUGGGUUGCAAAAGAAGUAGGUAGCUUAACCUUCGGGAGGGCGCUUACCACUUUGUGAUUCAUGACUGGGGUGAAGUCGUAACAAGGUAGGCGUAGUGCU
rnacentral:rRNA from 1 species